rnacentral:misc_RNA from 1 species
CUCGGUGUUCUUGUUUAGCUAUUUGUCUAGCCUUAUUUCUGGUUCAUAAUAUGCUAAUUGAUGUUUAUGAUAAAUUCUUUUUUAUUUUCUAGUUUUCAAGAUAUAACAAAUUCAGAGUAUGUGCAAUGGAAUGAAAAUAUUUUAUCUAAAAAUGCUGAAUACAGCUAUCUCCCUUUGCCCUCUACUUCGCAGCCACCACAAGGACUUACUUUUGAAAAAACACUAGAUUCUACAUUAACUGAACGUGAGAAGAUCCUGCUGAGUCAUUUGACUCAAACUAAAUUAAGCUUAAAGCGUUUGGCAGUCGAAAUGCGAACUGUGAGGAAGACACUAAUAAAUAGUUUGUAGCUUAUAACAAUAUUAGCGGGGUCCGCACUGACAUGCCUAAUAGAAAUAAUAAUGAUGACAUUCAAGUUGUUGAUGAGAUAGUUUAUCCUGUUUUGUCUUUG